rfam:Trichobilharzia regenti genome assembly, scaffold: TRE_scaffold0001168
AUCCAGCUGACGAUUCCCAAAUAGGACGAAAUGCGCAUCCUGGAU